UACAGAGGGUGCAAACGUUGCUCGGAAUCAUUGGGCGUAAAGCGCACGUAGACGAUCUGUUAUGUCGGAAGUGAAAUCCCACGGCUCAACCAUGGAAGUGCUUUCGAAACUGCUGAGCUUGAGUACAAAAGAGGAUCGCGGAAUUCCCGGUGUAGAGGUGAAAUUCGUAGAUAUCGGGAGGAACACCAGUGGCGAAGGCGGCGAUCUGGGUUGAUACUGACGCUGAGGUGCGAAAGCGUGGGGAGCAAACAGG
rnacentral:rRNA from 1 species